AGGACAAACGCUGGCGGCGUGCCUAAGACAUGCAAGUCGAACGGAAGGCUUCGGCCUUGAGUGGCGGACGGGUGAGGAGCGCGUGGAGAACCUGCCCCGGGGUGGGGGAUAACAGUCGGAAACGAUUGCUAAGACCGCAUACGACCAUUCGUUGCAGGAUGAAUGGGGAAAGCAGCGAUGUGCCCUGGGAGGGCUCCGCGUCGGAUUAGCUAGUUGGUGGGGUAACGGCCUACCAAGGCUGCGAUCCGUAGCUGGUCUGAGAGGACGGCCAGCCACACUGGGACUGAGACACGGCCCAGACUCCUACGGGAGGCAGCAGUUAGGGAAUUUUGUCAAUGGGCGAAAGCCUGAACGAGUGACGCCGCGUGCGGGAUGACGCCUUUCGGGGUGUAAACCGCUUUUCUCAAGGACGAGGAUGGACGGUACUUGGGGAAUUAAGUCUCGGCUAACUACGCGCCAGCAGCCGC
rnacentral:rRNA from 1 species